rnacentral:rRNA from 1 species
UACGGGGGGAGCAAGCGUUGUUCGGAUUUACUGGGCGUAAAGGGCGCGUAGGCGGUCGUGACAAGUCACUUGUGAAAUCUCCGGGCUUAACUCGGAACGGUCAAGUGAUACUGUCGGACUAGAGUACAGAAGGGGCAACUGGAAUUCUCGGUGUAGCGGUGAAAUGCGUAGAUAUCGAGAGGAACACCUGCGGCGAAGGUGAAAACAGGUUGCUGGGGUUGUGCCGACGCUGAGACACGAAAGCCAGGGGAGCAAACGGG